rnacentral:rRNA from 1 species
AUUUCCGUAGGUGAACCUGCGGAGGGAUCAUUACCGAGUUUACAACUCCCAAACCCCUGUGAACAUACCACUUGUUGCCUCGGCGGAUCAGCCCGCUCCCGGUAAAACGGGACGGCCCGCCAGAGGACCCCUAAACUCUGUUUCUAUAUGUAACUUCUGAGUAAAACCAUAAAUAAAUCAAAACUUUCAACAACGGAUCUCUUGGUUCUGGCAUCGAUGAAGAACGCAGCAAAAUGCGAUAAGUAAUGUGAAUUGCAGAAUUCAGUGAAUCAUCGAAUCUUUGAACGCACAUUGCGCCCGCCAGUAUUCUGGCGGGCAUGCCUGUUCGAGCGUCAUUUCAACCCUCAAGCACAGCUUGGUGUUGGGACUCGCGUUAAUUCGCGUUCCCCAAAUUGAUUGGCGGUCACGUCGAGCUUCCAUAGCGUAGUAGUAAAACCCUCGUUACUGGUAAUCGUCGCGGCCACGCCGUUAAACCCCAACUUCUGAAUGUUGACCUCGGAUCAGGUAGGAAUACCCGCUGAACUUAAGCAUAUCAAUAAGCGGAGGAAAU